rnacentral:rRNA from 1 species
UACGGAGGAUGCGAGCGUUAUCCGGAUUUAUUGGGUUUAAAGGGUGCGUAGGCGGGCUGUUAAGUCAGCGGUCAAAGCCCGGGGCUCAACCUCCGCCCGCCGUUGAAGCUGACGGUCUUGAGUGGGCGAGAAGUAUGCGGAAUGCGUGGUGUAGCGGUGAAAUGCAUAGAUAUCACGCAGAACUCCGAUUGCGAAGGCAGCAUACCGGCGCUCAACUGACGCUCAUGCACGAAAGUGUGGGUAUCGAACAGG